rnacentral:misc_RNA from 1 species
GAUGAAGAACGCAGCGAAAUGCGAUAAGUAAUGUGAAUUGCAAAAUUCAGUGAAUCAUCGAAUCUUUGAACGCACCUUGCGCCUUUUGGUAUUCCGAAAGGCACACCUGUUUGAGCGUCAUGAAUACCUCAAUCUCCAUCUUUUCUUCGGAUUGAUGGGUGACUUGGAUGUUGAGCCCUGCUGGUAUGCUAUAUCAGCUGGCUUUAAACUUAUUAGCCGGCUCUGUACUGGAUCGGUUUGACUCGACGUGAUAAUAUUAUCGUUGAGGAUGCAUGUCUCAUGCAGCCGGAAAGUAUCAAAGCAGCUUCUAGCUUGCCUUUAGUGCACUUUUACAUUUUAGACCUCAGAUCAGGUGGGACUACCCGCUGAACUUAAGCAUAUCAAUAAGCGGAGGA